GAUGAACGCUAGCGGGAGGCCUAACACAUGCAAGCCGAGCGGUAUUUGUUCUUCGGAACAGAGAGAGCGGCGCACGGGUGCGGAACACGUGUGCAACCUGCCUUUAUCUGGGGGAUAGCCUUUCGAAAGGAAGAUUAAUACCCCAUAAUAUAUUGAGUGGCAUCAUUUGAUAUUGAAAACUCCGGUGGAUAGAGAUGGGCACGCGCAAGAUUAGAUAGUUGGUGAGGUAACGGCUCACCAAGUCAAUGAUCUUUAGGGGGCCUGAGAGGGUGAUCCCCCACACUGGUACUGAGACACGGACCAGACUCCUACGGGAGGCAGUAGUGAGGAAUAUUGGACAAUGGGUUAGCGCCUGAUCCAGCCAUCCCGCGUGAAGGACGACGGCCCUAUGGGUUGUAAACUUCUUUUGUAUAGGGAUAAACCUACUCUCGUGAGAGUAGCUGAAGGUACUAUACGAAUAAGCACCGGCUAACUCCGUG
rnacentral:rRNA from 1 species